UCUACCCCUGGAGACAUUGCAGGGGUAGCCACUGUCACAUGUGUGUGUCAGUAGGUGGCAAAAAGGCGAGAGGCUAUGUCUACACUCAGUGUUUGUGACCUGUGAACAUCAGAAUGAUGAAUAGCGCCGGGCGGU